UGGUGAUUGUAGUUGCCAGCAAGUCUCAAUUAAGAGGGGUGAAGGAACAUAAAGUAUGUUUUUCUAAUUACUCACGGUAAAGUAGAGAGUUGUCUAUAAAUAUACCGCGGCUAGAAGACGGCGAUCUGUCGUUCUGAACACAGUGUAAGAGAUCGGGGAGUUAGACGUGAUUGAUUGCAUGGGGAUAAUUCAGCGAAUUUGAAAUAAAACUUCAUUACAGUAUAUGGCAUGUAAUCCAAUACGGACUGAUAUUACUUGAGAUAUAGCGAUAUACCAGAGAAAAGGCUAAAGCACCCAUGCAUAGAAGCCGCCUAUGAUACGGCGAUGAGGAAGAUAAUCUUACAGUAGGAGAUUUACACUGGUCAUACCACUCAGAGGAAGGGCUAUCAUUCUAUUCGCUUCUUUUUCAACAACAGGAUUUUAUUUCUAACUGGAGCACUACACUGUAUAAGCGAAAGACAUGUCGGUAAAAGAUGUAUCCGAGGAGACACUGAAAGAUUGGAGGGAAGCAUUUGGUAUGUUUGAUAAAAAUGGAGACAAUUUGAUAAGCGCUGGUGAAUUGGGCACAGUGAUGAGAAAUCUAGGACAAAAUCCGACAGACGAUGACGUCAGGAAGAUGAUCAGUGACGUCGACAUAGACGGUGAGGAAUGC